GACGAACGCUGGCGGCGUGCCUAAUACAUGCAAGUAGAACGCACAGUUUAUACCGUAGCUUGCUACACCAUAGACUGUGAGUUGCGAACGGGUGAGUAACGCGUAGGUAACCUGCCUGGUAGCGGGGGAUAACUAUUGGAAACGAUAGCUAAUACCGCAUAAUAUUAAUUAUUGCAUGAUAAUUAAUUGAAAGGUGCAAUUGCACCACUACCAGAUGGACCUGCGUUGUAUUAGCUAGUAGGUGAGGUAACGGCUCACCUAGGCGACGAUACAUAGCCGACCUGAGAAGGUGAUCGGCCACACUGGGACUGAGACACGGCCCAGACUCCUACGGGAGGCAGCAGUAGGGAAUCUUCGGCAAUGGACGAAAGUCUGACCGAGCAACGCCGCGUGAGUGAAGAAGGUUGUCGGAUCGUAAAGCUCUGUUGUAAGAGAAGAACGGGUGUGAGAGUGGAAAGUUCACACUGUGACGGUAUCUUACCAGAAAGGGACGGCUAACUACGUG
rnacentral:rRNA from 1 species